GCCAGGCUGGUUCAGUCAGAAGAGCACAAGACUCUUGAUCUUGAAGUCAUGAGUUCCAGCCCCAGGCUGGGUG
rnacentral:tRNA from 1 species